CCAGGACGGUCUCGAUCUCCUGACCUCAUGAUCCGCCUGCCUCAGCCUCCUAAAGUGCUGGGAUUACAGGCGUGAGCCACUGCGCCCGGCCAGAUCUAGAAACUUCUAACUUGAAUCCCACACCCCCAAGUGCAAAUGAGACCCAUGACCAUCACAAAGACCCCCCAGCGUCGUGGUCAAGGCUACCAGGAACUGGCAGCAGCGCUCUGCCCACGUCCACAGGAAGUGGCCGACGUCUCCUCUGCCUUUGGUUUAGUGGCCCCACACUUCAUCACCUCACUUUGUCCAUGAAUUUCACACGUUUUCUUACAAGAGCUCUGUAAUGCGCCAGGCACGGUGGCUCACACCUGUUAUCCUAGCACUUUGGGAGGCCGAGGCAGGAGAAUCACUUGAGGUCAGGAGUUCAAGGCCAGCCUGACCAACAUGGUGCAACCCCAUCUCUGCAAAAAUACAAAAAUUAGCCGGUCAUGAUGGCAGGUGCCUGUAAUCCCAGCUACUCAGGAGGCUGAUGUGGG
rnacentral:lncRNA from 1 species